rnacentral:rRNA from 1 species
GAUGAACGCUAGCGGCAGGCCUAAUACAUGCAAGUCAAGGGGUUCAGCAAUGGACACCGGCGGACGGGUGCGUAACGCGUACACAACGUACCUCAGAGCGGGGGAUAGCAUUGGGAAACUGGUGGUAAACCCCCAUGGUGUUGGAAUGUGGCAUCACAAAUUCAACUAAAAGGUUAACACUCUGAGAUCGGUGUGCGUCUGAUUAGCUAGUUGGCGGGGUAACGGCCCACCAAGGCGACGAUCAGUAGGGGGU